ensembl:lncRNA
CUGCUUGCUCUUAUAUCUCUGCAGGUAUCUCACCGGUCUGGCUAACCGCCUUUCCUCUUUACUUCCAAUACCAUGGUGGUCAUAUUCCACUUCCUAUAACUUAUGCAUCCAGAGAAGAUAUUGAGUUUUCUCAAACUAAUCUAUCCAUUGUCAGCGUGGAGGAAGAAAAUAAAUGAGCUAUCAAGUCACAAAAAGCAAGACCUGGAAUAGAAUUCAAACGCUAGUUGUUUCUACUGCUACCGGGUUGGAAUGAUAUCUAGACUAACUCAGCUGACAAAGCGAAAAAAAAAAAAAGGUAUUUAUUUUU